rnacentral:rRNA from 1 species
UACGUAGGGGGCAAGCGUUGUCCGGAUUUAUUGGGCGUAAAGAGCGUGUAGGCGGCUGGGUAGGUCCGUUGUGAAAACUCGAGGCUCAACCUCGAGAUGUCGGCGGAAACCAUCUGGCUAGAGUCCGGAAGAGGAGAGUGGAAUUCCUGGUGUAGCGGUGAAAUGCGCAGAUAUCAGGAAGAACACCCGUGGCGAAGGCGGCUCUCUGGGACGGUACUGACGCUGAGACGCGAAAGCGUGGGGAGCGAACAGG